rnacentral:lncRNA from 1 species
AACCAUUUUAGUUGACCUCCUGGGGGCAAAUAUCUGGAAUGGGGAGGUUCCCAGCACAUUUUAGAAUCUUUGAAGUCUCCGAGUUAAGGAAGCCUUGCUAUGUCAGAAGUUUGCUCCAACUUGAGGAAGGUGACAGGGGCAGAGCUGGCGUGCUCAUUCCUACAAUCCUUCCUCAUAUAGUUACUUGGAUGUAGAGCAGUGCUGUACUUAAUGAGAGUAUUAUAUGGUGGGUGAUUAGAUCUCAAGCACAGCUAACUAAAAUGGCAAAGGAACAUUUCAUUUGAAAGUCAGUGAUGGUUUUGCAUGUAUGGGCAACGUAGAGUUAGCAGCUCUUUAUUAAUGAUGUGUGUAAUUUGGGGUGGGGUGUUGUUUAUUUUUAUUGAUUUUUUUUUUAAAAAAUAAAAUUGAAAAGUAGCAGCCAUAUUUGUGCCCAGCGUUCCCAGCCUCCUCCAUCCCUAUCACAGGUGACCUCCCAUGACCUAUGUCACAAGGUGGUUGUGAGGUUAAAUGGGGAGAAGGAGAACCAUGUAUGCCACCAUGAGGACCUUAGUGGAAAAGUGGAAUAUAAAUGAAAUAAAGAAAGAAAGGUAAGCCCGCAGGUACAAUACAAAAGCAGCAAAGAACGUCCACUUUCCAGUGUCUCAUGUAUACAAUUAUAAAUGUGUAUGAAAUACAGUGGAACCUCUGUUGUCAAAUGUAAUCCGUUCUGGAAGACCGUUCGACUUCCGAAAUGUUCGACAACCGAGGCUCAAUCCCAUUGAGAAAACCGAGAAAUGUGCCCCAGAAGCCAUUCAGCUUCUGAUGCGCUCAAAAACCGAGGUUCCACUGUAUAUUGGGGGGGGGGUGUCAUCGCCUCCUACAUCAAUUAGAACGUGCAACAAGUAUAUGCUAUUUAACACCAAUGCUGCUCCACAAUAAAGGGUGGGGGAAGGGUGAAGUGGGUGAGUCCUCGGAAUGCAUGUACAUAAUGUGGGACAAUACUGACUUUUCUCCCCUUUUCCCACAGGUUUAUCUGAAGCUUCCACCUGUCCCAAUCUGCUAUGCCAUUCACUAAAGAGGUGAGAAACAGCAAUGUCUCUUGUGAGGUGGGUGGGUGGUUGGAGAGAUUAAAUGGUUAAAUAUCUGAAAUGUUUAACUGCAAGAGAAUGCAGUUCCACUCAGCUGCAUUUGUUGUGAAUUGUUUGAGUGACUUGGCCCACAGACUUAUUCCAUAUUAAUUUUAUACCUUGAGAUGUCCAUCAAAUGACUUAUUUACGUGCAUUACUUGAGGCACAGCAGCUGUCCCAGAAGUAAGAUAAAAAACUGCACACAGUGCAGUUUUGUUUUCUUGGCGUAAAAUACUGGUUCCUUUUAAUGUUUGUGUCCUGAUGUCUUGAGGAUGCCAGAGCAAUAUAAACUAACAAGGGGCAGCCCUGCCACAUUCUUUUAGCAUUUUCACGUCCUUCUAAAGCCCUGAACACAGACAUAAUUAUUUCCAAAUGCUUGUUAAGCAUCUUCUCAAUUUAGAACUCAUUCCAACUGCUGGGAAGUACUAUUAGUGGUAUAAGCCUGAUGGAUCUGUCCAGAUUUCACCCUCCCAGCAUGGAAGGGCUCCUGUCUGUGAGGCUUUUGAUAUAGCAGAGGGAUCUCACUGGUAGAAGGGAGGUGACUUGCCUGUUUCCAGUUCCCUCUGCAGCCUUCACACACUAAUCCAGAAGGUGUCUCCGUCUUUCAGAGUAGGUCUUUGGAGGCUGCAGGGGAAGGGGAAACUGGCAAAUGCCACCACUGUACUACAUUGUGUUCUGGCAGCAGGAGCAAAGUCUGGAACCAAGCCUACUCUUAAAACCUCACAUAUAAUUAAACUUGAAGCAGGCAAAGUUUUGACCUCCUUACUCUCUGCCCCUGCUAAUGCAACUAUUUCUGUCUGCUUACUGUUGUCUUGCUUUUUUCAUCUCGUUCAAACGUACAUGGAG